AAAUUAUGAUUUUUUUCCAAGUGUUUUUCCAAAUCUGUAAGCACUCUGAGGCUAGUGAAAUGUCACCCAUGUGAUAAAAUCUUUGUAUUUUUCCACAGAGGAAGGGCAGGAUCUCUGGAGGCCCACAAAUGUCCAUCGUUAACAGUACCAGGAAUCAGCAAUGAAAGGGAUACUAAAGUAAAAUGUUUGAAGGACCAAUACAGGAUGAAAAGAUUCCAACACAUGCUUCCUCCAAGGAACAACAUUGAGUUCAGUCCAAUAAAAUCACAUGUGACUACACAUCUACAGUAGAACCGCAUGUGACUGCACAUCUACAGUAGAACCGCAUGUGACUGCACAUCUACAGUAGAACCGCAUGUGGCUGCACAUCUACAGUAGAACACACAAUUCGAGAGAACUGGUAUCUUUUUUCCCAGGCACUUUCUCAUAGAAACAAGGGGAUCAACUGCUACGAUUUGUGAGGGAGUUUCUGAAAGAGAUUAGCAUUGGAUUUGUAGAUUAAUAGGAGAGGUUGCCCUGACACUUGCAGGGCAUAGAAUAAAAGGGAGAAGGAGAAUCCGGUAUCUCUACUGCACUGAGGCUUUGGUCAGCUGCCUUCAGACUGAAGACAUCUUCGUUCAGCAGAUCGGGUCACAGCUAGCAGGCAUGUCUGAUGUCACUGUUGACUGGAUUGAUAAACACCAGCUACAGCGU